rnacentral:rRNA from 1 species
GACGAACGCUGGCGGCGUGCCUAAUACAUGCAAGUCGAACGCACUCUCGUUUAGAUUGAAGGAGCUUGCUCCUGAUUGAUAAACAUUUGAGUGAGUGGCGGACGGGUGAGUAACACGUGGGUAACCUGCCCUAAAGUGGGGGAUAACAUUUGGAAACAGAUGCUAAUACCGCAUAAAACCUAAACACCGCAUGGUGUAGGGUUGAAAGAUGGUUUCGGCUAUCACUUUAGGAUGGACCCGCGGUGCAUUAGUUAGUUGGUGAGGUAAAGGCUCACCAAGACCGUGAUGCAUAGCCGACCUGAGAGGGUAAUCGGCCACACUGGGACUGAGACACGGCCCAGACUCCUACGGGAGGCAGCAGUAGGGAAUCUUCCACAAUGGACGAAAGUCUGAUGGAGCAACGCCGCGUGAGUGAAGAAGGUUUUCGGAUCGUAAAACUCUGUUGUUGGAGAAGAAUGUAUUGAUAGUAACUGAUCAGGUAGUGACGGUAUCC